rnacentral:rRNA from 1 species
UGCAAGUCGAGCGGUAACAGAAAGAAAGCUUGCUAUCAAUGCUGACGAGCGGCGGACGGGUGAGUAAUGCCUGGGAAUAUACCCUGAUGUGGGGGAUAACUAUUGGAAACGAUAGCUAAUACCGCAUAAUCUCUUCGGAGCAAAGAGGGGGACCUUCGGGCCUCUCGCGUCAGGAUUAGCCCAGGUGGGAUUAGCUAGUUGGUGGGGUAAUGGCUCACCAAGGCGACGAUCCCUAGCUGGUCUGAGAGGAUGAUCAGCCACACUGGAACUGAGACACGGUCCAGACUCCUACGGGAGGCAGCAGUGGGGAAUAUUGCACAAUGGGSGAAASCCUGAUGCAGCCAUGCCGCGUGUAUGAAGAAGGCCUUCGGGUUGUAAAGUACUUUCAGUCGUGAGGAAGGGUGUGUAGUUAAUAGCUGCAYAUCUUGACGUUAGCGACAGAAGAAGCACCGGCUAACUCCGUGCCAGCAGCCGCGGUAAUACGGAGGGUGCGAGCGUURAUCGGAAUUACUGGGCGUAAAGCGCAUGCAGGUGGUUCAUUAAGUCAGAUGUGAAAGCCCGGGGCUCAACCUCGGAACCGCAUUUGAAACUGGUGAACUAGAGUGCUGUAGAGGGGGGUAGAAUUUCAGGUGUAGCGGUGAAAUGCGUAGAGAUCUGAAGGAAUACCAGUGGCGAAGGCGGCCCCCUGGACAGACACU